rnacentral:rRNA from 1 species
UAAAAUUUAAAAUAGGAUUAGAAACCCUAGUAUAUUUAAAACUAUUAAGGUAGUAUUUUUAAAAGAAACCUAUUUAUUAUGGCGGCAAUUCUUCUAAUUAGAGGAACUUGUUCACUAAUCGAUAAUCCACGAUAAUUUUCACUUUAAUUUAAAGUUUAUAUACCGUCAUUAUAAGAAUUAAUUAUAAAAUUUUUAUUCAAAAUAACUUAUAAUAAAUUAGAUCAAGGUGUAGCCAAAAUAAAAGUAACCAAUGAGUUACUUUAAAUAAAAUUUAAGAAUUAGAUUUAAUAAAAUUUUAUGAAAAAGGAUUUAUAAGUAACAAUAAAAUAAUAAUUCAUUUUGAAUUAGAUAAUAAAUGUGCACAUAUCGCCCGUCACCCUUAUUAUACUAUAAGGUAAGUCGUAACAUAGUUAAUGUUUUGGAAAAAGCAUUAA